AGUAAGGAGUGAGUAGCUCACAGACGGUUUCGGCCCAUCUUAUGGUAGUGCAAUUCUACUCUUACUU
rnacentral:tRNA from 1 species